rnacentral:rRNA from 1 species
UGGUGGAGUGAUUUGUCUGGUUAAUUCCGAUAACGAACGAGACUCUAUCCUGCUAAAUAGUUCAGAUGCAUGAGUCGCUUCGGUGGCUACAGCUUCUUUCUGCAAACUUCUUAGAGGAAUUCGCGGAACUAUAAACCGCACGAAAGAGAGCAAUAACA